rnacentral:tRNA from 1 species
UCCCUGGUGGCUCAGAUGGCAAAGCGUCUGCCUACAAUGCGGGAGACCCGGGUUCAAUCCCUGGGUCGGGAA